GCGUAAACACGAUAUAUAUAUAUAUAUAUAAAUGAAUUAUAGCUAUUUGAAAAAAAAAAAGGAUUGGGGCCAAUGUCUGAAAUGUAAAGUAAAUGUAUCCAUAUGUAGAUAUCUAUAGGGGAUUAAUCAUACAAAGUGGAUCUUAUUAUUUUUGAUCUAAGCAUCGAUAAUUACUCCU